ensembl:lncRNA
CAGGCCAACACGUACACUGAUCUUCAUCAGAGAUUUGCAUUGCUGUUUGUUAUAAAAUAUACAUCAAAUCUUAGCUGCAUGAGACAUAACCCACAGUGCUGUUUUCCUUAUUGCUUGGUGUGGUGCUCCCAGAAUGGUCUGCUCAAAAACUGUCUGCAGUGGUGUACCCAUAACAGCCGGUUACCUAUUAGACAGUAUUGCAAGUAUUCCUAAGAUUCCCUUUUAAGAGGACCUCAUUAAAGCUGCAUGUGGAAAAAUGGUCUGAAAUUGCCAUCAUAACCACCACAAUCAAAUUAUAGCAAUCUGCUUUUUUCCAAAUGGUUCACAGCAGACUCAAGUUGAAGUGUGCAGGAGGCAAAGCACUGCACAUGGCAACGACCUCGUGUAUCUUGCAUCACAGAUCAGAGAUAUUUACUUUUUCUCAGCUACGUGACCCUGAAUUAGCAGCUACAGUGGCACAAGCACCAUUGCUAUGGUUACUGUCACAUAAUGUCAUCUUUCUGAGGCUCCAAAGCCACUUACAGGUGUGAGAGGUCAGUCAGUAAUGAUUUCAGUAUAGAAGUGCAAUACUUUUGUCUGAGAAAGGGUGACGAGAAAGGCAGCAGGGGUUAAACCCAAAGAAGCAAACAAAGUGGUGGAAAGCAAAGACUGGCAAUGAGUACAUUUCCUGCCACACCAGAAGAUAUCGAUCCUUGUGUGUCAUCUCAGUUCUCCUGGCUUGCUGAGUGCUUCUGAGUACAAACACAGAACCAACAUCCCUCAGGAGAUUGCAAACUUUUUAGGGAACUCAAAAGACAGGGUCAGUGCAUGGAGGUUGAGACAUGCUGAAUCAAAGCUCUUCUGACCCUGGAAAGUUCCCUGGUCUUGCAAAAAGGACUUUCAUUUUCCACUUCUGAGAAAGACCCAUUAAACUGUAGUAAAUUUCUCUCUGGUUGAGUCUUGAUUUUGCCUCAAGUUUGAGAUGGACAGCAGCUGGUGUACUUCCUUGGAGGUAUUUUAGAGAUGGGACUGAUGCUAAUUCAUUAUUAACAUUAACCUGUGAGGAAUUGCUGUGUCCUUCUUGCUGGACCUUGUCUUCUUGAACCACAUUCAAGCAGAUGCACCAGGAGGAUUGGCCCAACAAGUCCAUUAGCAGUUGAGCAGCAGGUGGCCAGUGUGAGAUGAGACUGAUGGCCAUGCACAGGAGAGCUCUGCCUGUUGAGAUGACCAGUGCACAGACUGGGGCUAGAUUUCUUACUUAUACAUGAGACACUGUUGUCUUCUUAUGUGCCAUUGUUUUCUUUGUUACCUUCCCUUUCCCCAG